rfam:Niastella vici strain DJ57 contig82, whole genome shotgun sequence.
CCAAUCCUGUCCGAUAAGGUUUAGUCAACCACCGGAAGCGAGUCUUGCGUAGUAGGCAGAGAUGCCUGCACGAAGCGUAGACAGCGACUGCUGAGGGUAUGUUAUUGAGCCUCGAAACUGUCCUACACGCCGAAGUCCUGAUUGUUCGAUAGAUCAGGACAACAUCAAACCAGCGUUACGACGAGUUGGGGAGAUUCGACCGGGGUCUGAGAACA